rnacentral:rRNA from 1 species
UACACGCUGUGACUAGCAUAUCAAUAAGCGGAGGAAAAGAAACUAACAAGGAUUCCCCUAGUAACGGCGAGUGAAGCGGGAAGAGCUCAAAUUUGAAGUCUUAAAGGGUUUCCCUUUACGAAUUGUAGUUUAAAGAAGUGUUUUCUGUUGAGGUUUUGGUAAAAGUUCUUUGGAAUAGGACAUCAUAGAGGGUGAGAAUCCCGUAUUUGACCUUUACUUUCAACUUUGUGAUACACUUUCAAAGAGUCGGAUUGUUUGGGAAUGCAGUCCAAAAUGGGUGGUAAAUUUCAUCUAAAGCUAAAUAUUGGCGAGAGACCGAUAGCGAACAAGUACCGUGAGGGAAAGAUGAAAAGAACUUUGAAAAGGGAGUUAGACAGUACGUGAAAUUGUCAAAAGGGAAGCGUUUGACACCAGUGUUGUUUUUCUGAAAAUCAAUUAAAGAACUGUUUAUGCUAAGUUGUUUAGACUUUAUCAGCUAUCUGUUUAGUUUUGAGCUUUUCUUUAAUGCACUUUUCAGUUAACAAGUCAACAUCAAUUUCUUUUGCUGUAAAAAAGCUUGAGGAAGGUGGCUUGAGAUUCGUCUUAAGUGUUUAUAGCCUCUUGCCUAUGCAGUCGGAGAGAUUGAGGUCUGCAGCGUAGAUCCUUCGGGGCUAAAUGCAUUUGUGCUAAGUCAUAGCAUUUCAUAGACAACUUGUUGACUAUGAUUUGUCUUGUAGCUUACUCGCUUAUGUUAUUUUACCUACGCUUAGGAUGUUGACAGCAGUAUAGACUGU